rnacentral:lncRNA from 1 species
UAAAGGCAUGCUUUUUUAAAAGAGAGCCCACUUAAGACAAAGAGUAUGCACAAAUACUAACAUCAGUUUCUGUACGACGGUGGGAAAGUAGAUAUUCAAUACUGGGGUAUUGGUAGGUGGAAGAAAAUGUCCGAGGAUACAACAGGAGCAUAAUAAAUAACAUUUUGCUUCUGUCUAACUUAUGAGCACAGCAUGCCCUUUAUUUACUCUAGGAAUAUCUCGUACUCUUUAGCUAUUUUUCUAAGUGCAUGCCCAUUGAUCUGAGUAAGCCGCUUCUUCAAUAUUGAAGAGAGAAGUUUGAGGCUGUCAUGCCCACUGCUGAAAUUAGACUGGGCAUUAUUCUGUAGGGGUUGGCGCACAGAAUAUCCUGAAUCAAUCACAAGACAAACAUCAGUAUUAAGCAAGGACUACAGUAGAAGUAGCUAGAGAUAAUAAACAGAAUGAAGGGCUAUUUUUCUAUAAAAUAUAUUUUUCUCUAUGAACAAGAUUUGUUUAAUUGAAAUUAAAUGUCAAGAAGUUAGAGAGCAUGAUAUAAUAAGUUCGAGAGAAUGAUUUGAUGUUGCUAUUCAACUGUUGAAUAGAUAUUGAAGGCACAUUACAUAAGAGUCCUGGAUUUUACAUACCUGAAAGUAGGCGCACCAUGAAAGUGAUAAUCAUCCAAUUAAUAAAACCAUUAUUCUAAAAAAAUAUUAGACAUUGCCUCAUAUAUACCAACGGGAGUAACUUUCUAUUGGUUAGAAACCGUUGCGCUGACAGUUAUUUAACACACGCUUUUUUUAGACGCACUAAGACCAUAUAUAGGAUGCAGACCAUUCUCAUGCCAAUGUCUAGAAUAGUCAAUCUAAAUAAGUCCUAGUAGCAUGCUCCUACAAGAUUCUUACAAAAACCUACAUGGGUAUGUUCCCAAUAGGAAUGGAUAUAGAUUAUGCUUACAAAAAUGCUACACUCUAACACUUCCACUGAAGCAGCACAAAGUUUGUGGAGGAGCAACUCCACCUUGCCGCUACAAUGUGUACAGCACAAGUGUUGAAGGAACAGCUUCAACGUGCCGCGCUAGAUAUCGCUCUAGAGGCGAAUGUAGGUUGAUAGGGCAGCAAGAGUUCAAUCCAGAACUCCUAGGGCACAAGAUCUACUCCAAGAUCUUAGAUAAGAACAACAAGUUCUAUUAUAGGUAGGGGUACAUAGUCUGCCUCCAAAGUAGAGGCGAGGACCUCUAUUUAUAGGGCUUUGGGAAGCCUUCACAUACUUCUACUUAUAGCUGGAAUACUCUAGAAAACAUUAUGUAAGUUUCACCAUUCUACUCAUAGCUACUCACAACUAGAAGACUCUAGAAAACAGUAGGUAGGAUAGAAAAGAAAAGGAAAGAAAUACUACACUAGAGUGGA